rnacentral:rRNA from 1 species
CCUACGGGUGGCAGCAGUGGGGAAUAUUGGACAAUGGGCGAAAGCCUGAUCCAGCCAUGCCGCGUGUGUGAAGAAGGCCUUCGGGUUGUAAAGCACUUUCAGUGGGGAAGAAAGCCUUGGGGCUAAUACCCUCGAGGAAGGACAUCACCCACAGAAGAAGCACCGGCUAACUCCGUGCCAGCAGCCGCGGUAAUACGGAGGGUGCGAGCGUUAAUCGGAAUUACUGGGCGUAAAGCGCGCGUAGGCGGUCUGAUAAGCCGGUUGUGAAAGCCCCGGGCUCAACCUGGGAACGGCAUCCGGAACUGUCAGGCUAGAGUGCAGGAGAGGAAGGUAGAAUUCCCGGUGUAGCGGUGAAAUGCGUAGAGAUCGGGAGGAAUACCAGUGGCGAAGGCGGCCUUCUGGACUGACACUGACGCUGAGGUGCGAAAGCGUGGGUAGCAAACAGGAUUAGAUACCCUUUAGUC